GUGAUUAAUUUAACGGCCGCGGUACACUAACCGUGCAAAGGUAGCAUAAUCAAUUGUCCUUUAAAUAGGGACUAGCAUGAACGGCACCMCGAGGGUUUAACUGUCUCCCCAUUUUAAUCAAUGAAAUUAAUCUUCCCGUGAAAAAGCGGGAAUAAAACUAUAAGACGAAAAGACCCUAUGAAGCUUUAAACUUAUUACCACUUAUCUCAACCAUAUAACAACUCACACGAUAAGACUGUUUAAAUAGUUUUCGGUUGGGGCGACCCUGGAGAAAAGUAAAUCCUCCAGAUUGAAAAAAAACAACCCUUAUACAAGAACCACAAUUCAAAUAAACAAAAAUUUGACAAAACUGACCCAGAAUUUACUGAUCAGCGAACCA
rnacentral:rRNA from 1 species